rnacentral:rRNA from 1 species
GUGCCAGCCGCCGCGGUAAGACGUAGGGAGCGAGCGUUGUCCGGAUUCAUUGGGCGUAAAGCGCGCGUAGGCGGCCGCGCAAGUCGGUUGUGAAAUCCCGGGGCUCAACCCCGGGACUGCGUCCGAUACUGCGUGGCUCGAGGCAGGUAGGGGAGAUCGGAAUUCCUGGUGUAGCGGUGAAAUGCGCAGAUAUCAGGAGGAACACCGGUGGCGAAGGCGGAUCUCUGGGCCUGUCCUGACGCUGAGGCGCGAAAGCUAGGGGAGCGAACAGGAUUAGAAACCCUCGUAGUCC